GCGAGAAUCGCCUCGUAUCCUCCAGGUAUCUCCAUAGUUUCACUUAUUACAACUUGUCCAAUAAAUGACACCCCAUCAGAUGAUGUGCACUUAAUUCUUUCACCAUUUUGCAAAACUCCAAAGUACAGCAGUCCAGGUUACCAUCUGUUUGCAACAACCAAUCCAUUCCAAGCAUUGCAAGUAUCGAUAGGUCAACAAAUACGGCCUUUGCAGGUCGUAAAGUCCUACUGAUUUGCAAGUCUACCCAGGCUGUUCCACGUACGUUCAAUGGACUACCGUCAACUUGCCAAUACUCAGUCUUCACAGCGUUCCAACACGGGCCAUUGUUCAUUGGGUAACUGAUAGAAGACAUCAGCCUCCCGACGGGCCUCUCGGUCAUUUGUUCCCUGUUUCCCUGGUUAUAGGAUCGUUUGGCUCUGGGUUUCUGGCAUUCUUUUGCAAAAUGCCCCAGCGUGCCACAGUUGUGACACUCCAACUCGGUUUUAUCACGCCAUCUUGUAUGUGCACGGUGAGCUUAGUGCUGGUAGCCCAGAUGACACCGCUUUGAGGACUUUAUCCAUUUGCUUAGUCAAAUCGCUUACACACUUCACCUGCUGACUUGCAGCUUUCUCAAUAGUCUGGAUCCAGUCCUCCAUACCAUGAUCCAUGCCCCUUGCAAACUUGGGGGACUUAUCAAAUCUCCUCUGAGACUCUACCUUAAGAAAGCUCUUUAAGGCAGCCUGGAGUGCCUCAGAUAGGUUUUUUGGUCUCGCACGAAAUACGCCCUUUCAUAUGUGUUGAUCGGAUACGGCAUCAACAAGUGAUUUUUCUCCAACCAGUCCCUUGCUUCUUCAGGGAUUUCCGGAUAUGCUUUUACUGCCAGCUCGUGGAUUGCUUGGCAUAACUCCUGCAUAGUUUCUUUCGGCUUUUGCCAGCGAUGACGUAGUUCAACAAGGAAGUUUUUGACUUGUUGACCUGGCCCAAAUCUUCUUGCUAACAACUUUACAAGCUCAUCAUAACUCAGCUUAUGCCCUUUGUUAGCUCCCUCUCCAGAUACUGAGCUGCUUGGUCAUUAUCCCACCGGUUCACUAACUGCAGCUUUCAAAGUGCCUGUAAUAUUCUGUCCAUGGGACUUUCCCACUGAAACAAUCGGGGACUAUAUUUGGACGGCGCAGAGCUCGAGACAUCUGCUCCUUCAGCCCAUCUUCCCCAAUAAACCUUACAUCCUUCUUUAGCUUGGGAGGCUCCGCCUCCUCUGCCCUAAGAUUGUCUGCCUCCACCUGAUCAACCCUACUAAUUGUUGGGUGUGUAGCAAAGCUCAACAAAUCGCAGUGUCGCUUCUUCUCUAUGCCAGAUGCGCAUGGAAUGCGGACAUUACUGUUCUUGUUCACAUCUGGCUCUGACAAAGCAGAGAUCACUGGACUGGAUACCCUGUCUUUUCUAGGGGUUGUCCAAUCAAAACUCAAGUAGGAAGGUGGGUUUCUGGGGUCUUUCGUACCGUACCCAUGGUCGCGUACCCAGAAGUCUCACCCUUACUUUCAGCCAACAAUUGGCAUGGAAACUGCAACUCUAUGUCCGAGUCUACCCGAACCAUUUUAUAUGUCUGUGUAGCAGGGGCAGAUUUAACUUAUUUUUUUUUCUUUGUACUAAAUGCAAAUGUCCACACACUGUAUAGGAGUAGCACCCCUUAGUCUACCCAUCCUGAAGUUGCAUUGUGCCCCUCAUAAUUGUUUACUUGAUGAUGACUCAUGCAACUGGACAGGCACUGUGGGCAUGCUUUGAGCCCAAGUCUCAGUAAGCAGGUUGGCAGUCGGUGAAGUAACACACCUAUUAAAUACCAGUCAAGUUCUGCCUUGAAAGCUCAGACCUGCGGUGGACUUGACGCUGCCUUCAACGCUGUAUUUUCAAUCCUGUGCCAAGCAACGUGAUUGCAUCCCCCUCAUACUCACACAGCACCCUCGAAACAUCCCGUCCUUGGUGUGAAGGGGUUAUCUUGAGAGGCAGUCAGCAAACUACUCUGCAGGGUUUCUGAGUCACACUGAUGGCUUGUCUCAUGUGCUGCCAACUUUGGCCUGCAUUGCUGCAUUCUACACAGGCAAAUCUAAGAGUUUGCUGGAAGUAGUCGGUUACGUUUUUAAUGCCCAUGAAGUUAACAUGUUGUUUGGACUCUGGACACUGCAUUCUGUUGAACUAUCUUUACUGAACAAGUGCCUGAUGCAGUUAAGACAAAAUACAUGCUUGCAUGGUGUUUCAACAGGAUUAUUCAAGAAUUGUUUACAUAGUGAACAGUUAUACAUAGAGCAUGUGAGAGUGAAACCCUUUUGGCAUAUUUGUUGUUCAUCUGCAUCAGUUAGGGAGUGGAAGUGAUGUUGAGGUGUAAUUGGCUGUGCCUUUGAUUUUGCAGCCAGACCAGUUAGGGGUUUUCUUGGCCUACCUCGUUUUGCUCUUUGUUUGUACAGACUGCAGGUCCGACACUCAUUUGACUCUGAGGAAUGGGGUUUCCACUCAGCAGGUAUGUGCUUCAUUGUAUAGGCGUAGUACAGGCGGCAUAAAUGCACAUGGGUGCACAUCCUCGGUGUCACUGGCCACGUCCACGCCGAAAAAUAGACAAAUCUUCCCAAUAUAAGCAGAGAUUUUCAUUGGUUUCUUGCCUCUCACCUCUUCCUGUUGGCUUUAAUUGUUACCACCGCAGAGCCUACAGAGUUUUCCCAAGAACUCUCGGUGGUCUUCAAGUGAACCCGUGCUCAAACUUCAAAUCAUAUAUGGUUUCGCAAGCAGGUGUAUCAGCUUAAAUGCUUACGAUUAAUAUUUAAAUUUACUGCGGUGUUGUAAACAGCAAUUGGAUUCAUGGUCCUCAUUGAUUUGUUGAAAAUAUGUUCUGAAACCAAACUGUUUUGUGAUACUUUCCCACAGGUCACAUUCACAUUGGAAAACUACAUGUUUCACAUUUUGAAAAAUCCAGGUUUGGGACACUUCUGUUAUUUUAAUAAUUUUUUUACAACAGUCUGGACAACGUGCACCACUGUAUAUGACUAGCCUAUGGGAACUUGCUGACGCGCCCCUACUUUGAGUCUCCCAAAGAGAAAAUUGACUGAAGUCGACAAUGCUUUCAGUUUACACCCUGAGAAUUUCUUAUGACCCUCAAACCAGCGUGAAUACUUCUAUUAAACAUUGUUUUGUAUGGUGACGUGCCAUUUUUGCUCAAGAAAACUGUUGAGGUAGUGAAAAAAUAUUACUUUUAUGUGUGAAAGUGGUUUUGAUUACUACGUUGAUUUUUUUGUUUGUUUGUUUUUUUUGUUAAUGUAGAUUUUGUUGUAUCUGAGAAGUGUAAAAUAAUUUUUCCAAAUGUAUUUUACAAAAUCUAUACUAUUUCUAUACAGAUAUCACAUAACACAUAACAGAGCAUACCGAGGCGUCUGAAAAUUGUCAGUUUUCUGGCCUUUCGUUUGGAGAAAAUAUACCAAACGUCGUCUGCUCCAGUUUAUUAUGCUGAUAUAACCCAGUGCGCAUGCAUGACCUAACCAACUAAGCAAACACAAGCCUUAUCGUGCUGUAGCAUACGUGAGAGGGCCAGGUGAAGUCUAAUCUCUGUAUGUGAAAUAAAAAUUACAUCCCUAAAACAAGGCAUUCUUAUAAAAGUCAUCCACUACAUUGUCAGUUAAGUGAACAUGUAACCGAAUCCACUUCGCCAAAAAUCAGAUUUUUGAAACCAAUCCCUUCCAUUUUCCUCCAAGCAAAACUUGAUUUAACAAAAUGACAGGCUUUACUAAAUCAAGAGGGCGCUAUAGAGAAAACUGAGCCCACAAUUGACAAUAGAAAGAUUAGUACUUUGUCUGAAAUAUGAGCAUUAACUCAGCUUAUCACAGUCCUUACACCAUACAAACUACUAGAUUUUUGGUGAACCCACAAAAUGAAAUAAGUUAGAAUGUACUGCGGAGGUGAUCACAGUAAUGAGAAUUCAAAGAAAAGUAGGGGGGAACCCUGACCGUAUGGCUGAUGUGGCUGUCAAGGAAUGGUGCCAUCUUAGAAAGUUGCAAAUGUACCAAAUUUGGUCUGCUAAAAAAACACUUCAUGCAAGAAUUUCUAACAAUCAUGAACUUCAGGAAGCUCUAAUUAAACACUUUCCUGUUUAUGUACACUGGUACAUGUAUGGCUGAUUUAAAUAAUGGGAGGAAAAGGAGGCCGGGAAAUUUACCUGCAAAUUUCAGGUCGAAUAUACAUGAUCACGCACAACACAAGGAGGCGGCAAGUUGGCAUAAGCAACCUCCGGCCCUUGGUGGCGCACUUCAACUACACACACCUGGCUUUGCGACAACACGGCCUCCAUAGGUUGUCUCUAGCCUGCAACCUACACAUACAUGUAUGCAUUAUUUUCUAGUUCAUUACUCCAUUCACUCAGUGCUCCCUCACUCGCUUGACUCCCAUGGGAGCAGCUGCCAUGAUCUUCCUCUUUAUUGUAGCACCAAUGUCAGGAAAUGGAAAAAUGUAAAAUUUGUGUGGGUUUAAUAUCUUACAUUUGUUAUUCUGCUCCCCUCGUUCCCGGGAUACUUUCCAACCUUAUACAACCCUAAUGGAACUAUCUGUGGUAUGCAAUGGUGGAGGUCAUGAUGUUUACCUCACUUCCUAACUCAGUCCAUUGUUUUAGGGGAACUUUCCCACAGUCCUGACCAAGUAUUUUUAGAAAAAGAAUGCCGGUUUUCGUUCUUUGGGAGAUUCAUCAAAUUGGAGGUUGCAAGUUG